CAACAGCAACAGCAGACUUCAUAGGAAUUUGCCUCUGUUGUGACUCAGGAGUGUCCCCGAGCCGUGAGCUUCCUGAAAUGCUCUGGUGGCCCCGGAGCCUAGCAUGGAACCUGAUGCACAGAAGGCCUCUAAUACAUGAGUCAAUUGUUGAAUAGCUGAAGGAAACGAUGGGUGUCCAAGACAGCCUCCAACCCCCAGCCCUGCCGACCCAGAGCUUGGCACACAGUAGGUUCUCAGGAAAGGUUGGCAGUAUUCUAUUUUCUGAAUGAAUGUGAUUUCAGGCAAGGUCAGGGGCUGGGUUAUGUGGGUGGUAGAAGGGAGGGUCUGGAUGCGGGAAACGUGGCCAAAAGGGAAGCUUGGGGGCAGUGCAGUAGGGGAAGGGGGCAAUGGGGGUGUCUGGAGAGGUGGGAAAGGAACGAAGUCCCCAGAACGCUGUCCCUCCGCGCCCCAGGUCAGCCGGCGUGGGGUCCGGUCAGUCCGCCUCCAGCCCCGCCAGCGAGACCCUUCCCCCUCGCCCGGGUGGCGAGACCCCCCUGGCUCGCACGCUUGGCCCUCGGGGUUGGGAGGCGUGUGUGUCGCUUUAAAAGCUCCCUCCCGGCGCGGCG
rnacentral:lncRNA from 10 species